UGUACUUCGAGGUAUUUGUAUGAAUGGCAGUAUUUCUACUGGUUUUUUUGCUUGGGAAGGAACGACAGUACAGAGUUCAGCUGUGAUAACAUAUGGUUUCCCUUUAAGACAUUUUUUUUUUUUUAUAAUUAUAGGAUUUUAAUAACCUAGUUCUCUUUCCCACGGAGGAGUGCGCACUUACCUGUGAACUCAACAUCCAGAAAUAGGAACCAAACAAAUUUUAAGCCUGGAUGGCAGCAACCAUCACCGUGAUGCGAGCAAGAGCUUGGUCCAUUGAUCCUUGAAAGGGAGUUGUUGGAGUGUGAAUCAAGGGACCAGGUGCAGGUGUUGGGCGAGUGUGCGCCCUGCUGUCCUCUCCCUUCUGUUCUGCCCCCACCCAGCCUUCCCUCUCCUGUUGGCCCACAGCAGCAUUGGACCAAACCUCUUGGUACACCAUAUGGGUAUGAUUAACCCUGUCACUGCUGAGAACACCGUACAGGCACACUGUAGCUGCAGCUACCCUGAGAUGGAGCACCGUCUGCAGUCAUCCAACGUGCCACGUGUUCACCGGGCCAGCCAGCCAGCCGCCAUCUGCCUUGAAGACAAGACUGGCACUCUCACUCGCUAUAAAAUGCAGCUGGGAGAAUCAACAGCUGUUGAAGAAGAGCUCUUUCCAA